rnacentral:rRNA from 1 species
GUGAGUAACACGUAGGUAAUCUGCCGUAGAGUGGGGGAUAACCCAUGGAAACAUGGACUAAUACCGCAUAUACUCUUGACGCUAAAGCGUAGUAGAGGAAAGGAGCAAUCCGCUUUACGAUGAGCCUGCGGCCUAUUAGCCUGUUGGUGAGAUAAAAGCCCACCAAAGCUACGAUAGGUAGCCGACCUGAGAGGGUGACCGGCCACAUUGGGACUGAGWWWCGGCCCAGACUCCUACGGGAGGCAGCAGCUGAGAAUCUUCCACAAUGGACGAAAGUCUGAUGGAGCGACAUCGCGUGAGGGAUGAAGGCCUUCGGGUUGUAAACCUUGGAAAUUAUCGAAGAAUGAGUGACAGUAGAUAAUGUAAGCCUCGGCUAACUACGYGCCAGCAGCCGCGGUAAUACGUAGGAGGCAAACGUUGCUCGGAUUUACUGGGCGUAAAGGGUGAGUAGGCGGAACUAUAAGUCUAAGGUGAAAUAUCGAAGCUCAACUUCGGAAACGCCUCGGAUACUGUGGUU